rnacentral:lncRNA from 1 species
CUAUCUAGAGGAAGUAAAAGUCGUAACAAGGUUUCCGUAGGUGAACCUGCGGAAGGAUCAUUAACGUUGGCGAGAGCGUGGCAAGCGGCGGCGGCCCGCGUCUGCCUGUCCGCCCGCCCUGCUCGCUCUCUCGCCUCCUCCACCUGCGCGGCGCGGGACGCGAGGGCGGGAGGGAAGGCGCCUGGAGGUGCGUGUUGCGCGGCGUGGGGAAGGGGGCUCACCUGGCCGGGGGUUGGUGCCCUUGUCGGGUCACCCGGGGGUGGGAGGAAAGCGGAGAGAGAGCUGCUCUGGGGAGUGUGGGUGGCAUCCGAGGGACCGGGUCAGGCGGCUUGGCCGUUCCUUUCCCCGGCCUGCUCCCCCCACACGCGCCUUCUCCUCCUCCUCCCCCCCCCCGGCGAUCCCGGCUGCCACCGCCCCCGUCCCACCCCCCCCCCGACGCCCCGUGUAGUGCUUGCACGCAUUCCGGCGUUUCUCUUCCGCCUGACCUCCCCGCCACGUCGCCGAGAGGCGGGUCCGAGGGUUGAUCCGGGCUUUUUGGGGGGGGGGCCGGGCCGUGCCCGGCCCCCCACCCCCCGCGCGUCUCUGUCUCCGGUCGCGCGGCCUUGGCUGCCCCGUGGUGUUUUCGGCGCGUCUCGGGAUGGGCUUUGCCCUCCCGCCGCCGGCUCUGGGCCGGGUUUUCUCCCGGCCGUUGGUCCUCCAUGCCUCCGCUCCACUGCUCCGAUCCUGCCGCCGCUUGGCCGGGCCCUCUCUCCCUGCCCUCGGCGGCGGCGGCGGCGGCGCUGCUUUGCGGUGGGGGCGGUGGUCGGCCGGCGGCCGAGUGGCUCCCGCGUCACGGGCCGUCAGUGCCACGUAAGACCCGCGUUCCGAGGGCGGGCCGCGCGACGGACGGAGUUCGUUACCCGUCGUCAGGCCGGCGUCUUGGGGGCGCCUGGGUGCGGCGCUUUCCCCCCUCCCUGCCCGCCUCGCCCGCCUCCCUCUCUCCAGGUACCUAGCGCGUCCCGGCGCGGAGGUUUAAAGACCCCUAGGGGGGGUCGCCCGUCCGCCUUGGGGUCGGGGCGGUCGGGCCGGUGGGGAGGAGGAGUCCCUUCUCCCCCAGCUCCGCUUCCCCCCCAUGGGGCGGGGCCCCCGUGCCUCGUCGCGGUCCAGCCCCUCUCACCGCGGCCGUCGGGAGGGGGGCUUACUCGGUGGCCAUCGCCGGCCAGUCGGUCCGUGGCCGUGUGCGAGCGAGCGCGUGUGUGCCCCGUGCCUGUGUUGGGGGGGUGGGAACCCCCGGGCGCCUGUGGGGUUGUCCGUGCCCCACCCACUCACCCGUGUGUGUGUGUGUGUGUGUGUGUGGGCGCCGGACGCCCCGUCGUGUGA